AUGGAGGAAUGGAAGAAUGGAGGGAGGAAUGGAGGGAGGAAAGGAGGGAGGGAGGAAUGGAGGGAGGGAGGAAUGGAAGAAUGGAGGGAGGAGAAUGGAAGAAUGGAGGAAGGAAUGGAGGAAGGGAGGAAUGGAGGGAGGAGGAAUGGAGGGAGGAAGGGAGGAAGGAAUGGAGGAAGGGAGGAAUGUAGUGAGGAAUGGAGGGAGAAAUGGAGGAAUGGAGGGAGGAUUGGAUGGAGGGAGGAAUGGAGGGAGGAAUGGAGGGAGAGAGGGAGGGAGGAAAGGAGGGAGGAAUGGAGGGAAGGAGGAAUGGAGGGAGGAAUGGAGGGAGGAAUGGAGGGGAGGAAGGAGGGAAGGAGGAAUGGUGGGAGGAAAGGAGGGAAGGAGGAAUGGAGGGAGGAAUGGAGGGAGGAAUGGAGGGAGGGAGGGAUGGAGGGAGGAAUGGAGGGAGGAAUGGAGGGAGGAAUGGAGGGAGGGAUGGAGGGAGGAAUGGAGGGAGGGAUGGAGGGAGGGAGGAAUGGAGGAAGGGAUGGAAGGAGGAAUGGAGGGAGGGAUGGAGGGAGGAAAGGAGGGAGGAAUGGAUGGAGGGAGGAAUGGAUGGAGGGAGGAAUGGAGGGGGGGAGGAAUGGAUGGAGGAAUGGAUGGAGGAAUGGAGGGAGGGAGGAAUGGAGGGAGGAAAGGAGGGAGGGAGGAAUGGAGGGAAGAAUGGAUGGAGGAAUGGAGGGAGGGAGGAAUGGAGGGAGGAAAGGAGGGAGGAAAGGAGGGAGGAAUGGAGGGAGGAAUGGAUGGAGGAAUGGAGGGAGGGAGGAAUGGAUGGAGGAAUGGAGGGAGGGAGGAAUGGAGGGAGGAAUGGAGGAGGGAGGGAUGGAGGGAGGAAUGGAGGGAGGGAGGGAUGGAGGGAGGGAAUGGAGGGAGGGAGGGAUGGAGGGAGGGAGGAAAGGAGGGAGGAAUGGAGGGAGGAAAGGAGGGAGGAAUGGAGGGAGGGAGGAAUGGAGGGAGGAUUGGAGGAAUGGAGGGAGGGAUGGAGGAAAGGAGGGAGGAAUGAAGGGAGGGAGGAAUGGAUGGAGGGAGAAAUGGAGGGAGGGAGGAAUGGAGCGAGGAAAGGAGGGAAAAAAUGGAGGGAGGGAGAAAUGGAGGGAGGGAGGAAUGGAGGAAGGAGGAAUGGAAGAAUGGAGGGAGGAAUGGAGGGAGGAAAGGAGGGAGGGAGGAAUGGAGGAGGAAUGGAAGAAUGGAGGGAGGGAGGAAUGGAAGAAUGGAGGAAGGAAUGGAGGAAGGAAUGGAGGAAGGAAUGGAGGAAGGGAGGAAUGGAGGGAGGGAGGAAUGGAGGGAGGAAGGGAGGAAGGAAUGGAGGAAGGGAGGAAUGUAGUGAGGAAUGGAGGGAGGAAGGGAGGGAGGGAGGAAUGGAGGGAGGAAAGGAGGGAGGGAGGAAUGGAGGGAGGAAUGGAUGGAGGAAUGGAGGGAGGGAGGAAUGGAGGGAGGAAUGGAGGGAGGGAGGAAUGGAGGGAGGGAGGAAUGGAGGGAGGAAUGGAGGAAUGGAGGGAGGGAUGGAGGAAAGGAGGGAGGAAUGAAGGGAGGGAGGAAUGGAUGGAGGGAGAAAUGGAGGGAGGGAGGAAUGGAGCGAGGAAAGGAGGGAAAAAAUGGAGGGAGGGAGAAAUGGAGGGAGGGAGGAAUGGAGGAAGGGAGGAAUGGAGGGAGGAAAGGAGGGAAAAAAUGGAGGGAGGGAGAAAUGGAGGGAGGGAGGAAUGGAGGAAUGGAAGAAUGGAGGGAGGAAUGGAGGGAGGAAAGGAGGGAGGGAGGAAUGGAGGGAGGGAGGAAUGGAAGAAUGGAGGGAGGGAGGAAUGGAAGAAUGGAGGAAGGAAUGGAGGAAGGAAUGGAGGAAGGGAGGAAUGGAGGGAGGGAGGAAUGGAGGGAGGAAGGGAGGAAGGAAUGGAGGAAGGGAGGAAUGUAGUGAGGAAUGGAGGGAGGAAUGGAGGAAUGGAGGAGGAUUGGAUGGAGGGAGGAAUGGAGGGAGGAAUGGAGGGAGAGAGGGAGGGAGGAAAGGAGGGAGGAAUGGAGGGAGGAAUGGAGGGAGGAAAGGAGGGAGGGAGGAAAGGAGGGAGGAAUGGAAGGAGGAAUGGAGGGAGGGAGGAAUGGAGGGAGGAAUGGAGGGAGGAAUGGAGGGAGGGAGGAUUGGUGGAACGGAGGGAGGAAUGGAGGGAGGGAGGAAUGGAGGGAGGAAAGGAGGGAGGGAGGAAUGGUGGGAGGAAUGGAUGGAGGAAUGGAGGGAGGGAGGAAUGGAGGGAGGAAUGGAGGGAGGGAGGGAGGGAGGGAUGGAGGGAGGAAUGGAUGGAGGGAGAAAUGGAGGGAGGGAGGAAUGGAGCGAGGAAAGGAGGGAAAAAAUGGGGGGAGGGAGAAAUGGAGGGAGGGAGGAAUGGAGGAAGGGAGGAAUGGAAGAAUGGAGGGAGGAAUGGAGGGAGGAAAGGAGGGAGGGAGGAAUGGAGGGAGGGAGGAAUGGAGGGAGGAAUGGAAGAAUGGAGGGGGGGAGGAAUGGAAGAAUGGAGGAAGGAAUGGAGGAAGGAAUGGAGGAAGGGAGGGAGGGAGGAAUGGAGGGAGGAAGGAAUGGAGGAAGGGAGGAAUGUAGUGAGGAAUGGAGGGAGGAAGGGAGGAUUGGAUGGAGGGAGGAAUUGA
rnacentral:lncRNA from 1 species